rnacentral:rRNA from 1 species
GAUGAACGCUGGCGGCGUGCCUAAUACAUGCAAGUCGAGCGAACCACUUCGGUGGUGAGCGGCGAACGGGUGAGUAACACGUAGGUGAUCUGCCCAUCAGACGGGGACAACGAUUGGAAACGAUCGCUAAUACCGGAUAGGACGAAAGUUUAAAGGUGCUUCUGGCACCGCUGAUGGAUGAGCCUGCGGCGCAUUAGCUAGUUGGUAGGGUAAAGGCCUACCAAGGCGACGAUGCGUAGCCGACCUGAGAGGGUGAACGGCCACACUGGGACUGAGACACGGCCCAGACUCCUACGGGAGGCAGCAGUAGGGAAUCUUCGGCAAUGGGCGAAAGCCUGACCGAGCAACGCCGCGUGAAUGAUGAAGGCCUCGGUUGUAAAUUACUGUUAUAA